CAUGACACAUCAUACUGCAAAUGCCAAACUUUCAAAAAAGUGAUAGUACCAUGUCUCAGCCACGAGGUGGUAAAUCUCCCCAAACACUUGUCUACAAUUGCGUAAAUUUAUUGUUUUUGUGUGUUUUUGUGAGUUUGAGAAAUUGCAUCAGAAAUUCAAAGUGGCAGAUGGAGGAACGGGACGCUCGGAGUACCUCAGAAAUGAGUGUCAAAGCCUUUUAUAUUCUUGGAGAGCCAGACAGGUAGGGAAUAUUUUUCCAACAAAAUAGGCAAAAGGAAUACUUUCUCACUGUUGCAGUAUAUUAGUAUUGACGGUAGCUGUCUGUGAGAAUAUUAAAUAUUGAUACCUUUUUAAAAAAUAAGCAAACAGUCAUACUGCGAGUUUACAGAUGGGGUUCUUUAUGGUUGUUGCCACAUGUCUUAAAACAGCUCCUAAGCUCUUUAAAAGAUAAUUAGACAUUUAUCUCUAUUUGGCCCCACAACUUACUUAUCAGAAGUAGUUAAACUUUCAAAAUAAAAGCACAUGACAGGAAAAACAUGGGUGAUUAUUUGUGUAGACUGUGUUUAUUAGUAAAAUUUAUGAAUUUGUAAUGUUUAUGAACACAGUUUGUUGUCAUUAACUUGUCUUGUACCUUCUCAGUUUUACUCACUGUGUUAUACUGAAUUUCAAGAUUUUAUAGUUCAUAAAUAUCUUCAUAUUAUUGUUAUUGUGCCCACAAUCAUUGUGGGUGAAAACCUGUUAUUGUCAGAGCUCUACUGCAGAUUUUAAUCAAAUUUUUUCAUAUACAUUUUUUAUGUCUCUGAAAACAGUGGGGGUCAUCUGAUAUUGUUUUUUCACGGCCGAUAGCAAACACAUAGUUUAUUAAAGCAAUAACUAAUAUCUGGAGCCAAAAUGUGUUGACAGUAAAAUUUAAAGACUAUCAGUCACAAUUUAAAGUUUUGGGAAAGUGAAAACUCUACUUUAAAAUAAACACCUGCAGCAAAUGUUUGAUCAAAUUUCUAACAGCCGGGUUUUCAGUCCCUUAUUAAAAUUUUACUAUAACUUAAAAGUGAAUAUUUUUAUUAAACAAGAGUAUUAAAUAGUCUUCAUGUUAUACUUUUUUUUUUUUCCAAUAUCAUGUUUUUAAUACACAGUGCCUUCUGCAGAUUUGGACUGUUGGAUGUUUUGUUGAAUCCUCUAGAGAUUUUUAAAGAAUAAGUAAAUCUUAACAGUUUUACAAAGUUUUGACUUCUUUUGUGCAGAUUUGGAGGGAAAAAUCAACUCCAGCAGCAGCAGCAGAAUCAUCAG